rnacentral:rRNA from 1 species
UACAGAGGGGGCAAGCGUUGUUCGGAAUUACUGGGCGUAAAGGGCGCGUAGGCGGCCUGCUAAGUCGAACGUGAAAUCCCUGGGCUCAACCCAGGAACUGCGUCCGAUACUGGUUGGCUUGAAUCCGGGAGAGGGAUGUGGAAUUCCAGGUGUAGCGGUGAAAUGCGUAGAUAUCUGGAGGAACACCGGUGGCGAAGGCGACAUCCUGGACCGGUAUUGGACGCUGAGGCGCGA